UACGGGGGGGGCAAGCGUUGUUCGGAAUUACUGGGCGUAAAGGGCUCGUAGGCGGCCAACUAAGUCAGACGUGAAAUCCCUCGGCUUAACCGGGGAACUGCGUCUGAUACUGGAUGGCUUGAGUUCGGGAGAGGGAUGCGGAAUUCCAGGUGUAGCGGUGAAAUGCGUAGAUAUCAGGAGGAACACCAGUGGCGAAGGCGACUACCUGGCCUGUUCUUGACGCUGAGGCGCGAAAGCUAGGGGAGCAAACGGG
rnacentral:rRNA from 1 species